AUUGAACGCUGGCGGCAGGCCUAACACAUGCAAGUCGAGCGAGCGGCGGAAGGGAGAGUAAUGUCUGGGAAACUGCCUGAUGGAGGGGGAUAACUAAUGGAAACGGUAGCACAUACCGCAUACCCUCAGAUGUGCCCCGAUGGGAUUAGCUAGUAGGUGGGGUAACGGCUCACCUAGGCGACGAUCCCUAGCUGGGCUGAGAGGAUGACCAGCCACACUGGAACUGAGACACGGUCCAGACUCCUACGUGAGGCAGCAGUGGGGAAUAUUGCACAAUGGGCGCAAGCCUGAUGCAGCCAUGCCGCGUGUGUGAAGAAGGCCUUCGGGUUGUAAAGCACUUUCAGCGGGGAGGCGUUACCCGCAGAAGAAGCACCGGCUAACUCCGUGCCAGCAGCCGCGGUAAUAC
rnacentral:rRNA from 1 species